GACUCAUUUCAACUCUGUUCCAGUUCCCAAAGCUCGCCUUGCCCAUUUCCCACCGUCACUGCUCUGGCUGGAGGCGUUCAGCUGUGUGUUUAUAGAGAGGGAAGGGUUCAGCUGCCUGGGUUGGAUCCACAGACAACAGCUUGGGAGCACCUGAACCAGCCUGGCCCCAGCACAACACCCGAGUGAGCGGAGCUGUGCCAGCCUGUCUGGGCUGAGCCUUCCGUGGGCACUGCUGUUCCUGCUGGAGCCUUCGCCAUGGUUUUGCCCUUCUCAGCUCAACCAGUCAGCUCGUAGGACUGAGGGGUAAAGGAAUCGUAGACUCUGUGACCUUGAACUGAACAUGACCACCCUCUUUACAGCCUCAGCAUAAGCCUUAUCAGGACCACGUGAAAAAAGCAUUAUCACCUUUUGGAACUGAGUGGGUUCAGGGCUGUGAUCCUGAGGUGUCCUGCAAGCCAAAUCCAGCUCUGCUUUCCCUGGCCACAGCCAGCCCAACUCCCGAGAGAUUAAUGAGCCAAAUUCUGAUCUCAGUUAUAUUUGUGGACUUGUCCCAUAUCCAUCCUAUAUAAAUCAGUCUUACCCUGUUCAGGAAAGCCAGCUGGGUUUUGGUCCCAAUUAAGUCAAUGGGAAUGCUGCCAUUGACUGCAGUGGGUUUGGGUUUCAUUUGGGGUUGAGAGCUUUCAGUCUCAUUUAACUGUUUCCUACUGGAAAAGGCAGUAUUGUCCCAAAGCUGAAAUAAAUAUUUGGCAUCCUCUAAGCCAGGCAGCUCUCACGUAAAGGUGCAUUGCAUUUCCCAUAAAAACUGCUUCAAUAUUUGAUUGGCCAGGAUUCUUCCCUUUCAUGCUGAAUCAAGGGCUCUAAUAAGCAUGAUGACAAAAUAUGAGGAAUUCUAUGUAAUUAUGGCAACGGCACCACCUGCCUCUAAUUAAGCUGCCAAAACAUUUGGUCUAAAAUGAUGCAAUGAAUAAAAAAAAAAAUUAUAUCCAAUAUUUUGGCAAUGUAACAAGAAGCUGGCUUUCCUCACAUAAUUAGCUUUAACAAAGUGUUGUUAAUCUGAUUUUUGAUUAAUAGAUUAUUUAAUCUUAUAGCAGGCUGACAAGACUCUGAUCUGCCUCUGGUUUAAGUUCUUGCCACCAAAAAGGCUAAGAUUUGUAAGAGUUUUAAGAGAUAUACUUGUAUAAGAAACAUUAGAUUUCCUUAUUAUUUUCAUUGUUCUACAUGAGAGCCCCAAAGGUUACAUUCUCUGAAUUCACUGAACUUUUAAGCCUUUCAUUAAAUUGGAAGCCAGAGGAAAAGCUUUUUUUCCCCCUCUUCCUAAUUCCUUGUACAGAGAAGUCACUGGUAUGACUAAUUGGGGGGAGGAGGGGUGCCCAGAAACCUGACAAGCUCUGCACAUUUUAGAGCUGCUGGUCGGCUGGCAGAAAGUAUCAGCUUUGUGGACUGCUGUGAUGCCCUGGGGUGUUUGGUGGCUAAUGGUCUCCCCCUAGAAGUGCUUCUCCGGUUGGAUUUAGUGACAAUGAGGAGGGGAAUAUAAUGUGUAACAACAGCAAAGCAGCCCAACCGCUUUUCCAGGACUUGUGUGGCCAUUUGGGUUUCAGAGGUGUUAAUGUAACCUGGCAUGUUAAAUCAGACAUGAUCAACACUGUAAAAGAGCCAAGCAUACCAACAGUACAGAUGGGUGGCAGAUAACGAAAGCAGCCAUGGCUGAGCAGUGUAAAACUGCUGAUCAAACCACGUUAAUAUGUGGGUCUUAUAAUUCUGAAAAUCAGCAUUCGAAUACACCAGGAUGCAGACAGGUAACUGUGUAUUCACUGUAGGUGCCAUCUAUUAAAAACAUAUUUUAGCAGCUUGCUUGUGUCUUGCCCUGGGUGCCUUAAAUGCAUGAUUUUUCCAGUGCCUUGUGCUCCCUGUAACAAUUGGUGACUCCAUGAAGUGGGUGUAAAUAGUUUCUGCCAGCCACAGUUUGAUGUCUGUUGUCUCACCCUGUUGAGUUUCUUUCCCAUAGCAGUGUCUGGGCUGGAUUAUUUACUCCCACUCCAGCUGCAAAGUCUUGAUGGGCUUUAAAAUUCAGAGGAGUUUCAAGAAAGUCUGAGAACUUGACAGCUCUGGGCUAUUUGUGAAGACAGCUGUUAAUUCAAAAGAUUUGUUUCAAUUUUCUCAUCCUGAAGUAAUGAUAAUGGCACUGUUCUUGUAUCUGGUAUAUUGCUGGGCCAGUGCUGAGAUUUCAGCAUUUGAGAAAAGGUUUUCUGGUGCAGUUCCCUGCUCUGACAGCAGAGAUUUGAUGAUACGAGUGAUACUCCCUUUAGAGGUCAGACAGCCUUUAUGUCUGUGUGCUCACAUCCCCUUCAGAGCUGGGUGCAGAAGUCCAUUUGUUAUCUCCAGGCUGCCUUUGUGCCAGCAGUAGGUUGGUUUCGUAGCAAACCUUAACAGAUUUGCUAAAUACAAACUGAGUUCAGGUGGUAUCCUGACCCACAGGCAUGAAGCUGCAGUGUGAAACCACCUCCAGAUUCCACCUCCUGCCAGCACUGGAGAUGUGGAGCAUCCUCAGUGAAUGCCUCCUGUACAGCUGCUGAUAAGGGAGGACAAUGAGGGCCAAAGGUCUCACUGAAUGCUGAUAGAGUGUGUGAACCAAAACCCCAACAGGGUGAGUGUCCCCCACGAUCUGCUGAGGCAGCAGGAAUUUGAGGUUACUCACUGUUCACUGGCACACCAGACAAUUAUAAAAGCCAGGAUCUCCAUUAAUUCCCAAAUCUUGCCUAUAGACUGCCCUGCUCCUCCCAAACAACAGCAACAGCCCUUAGGUGACCACCUCACCUCUAUUACAUGUUGGACUGGCAGAUUCAAUGCUUAUGGCUUUUUUUUUUUUUCCCCUCCACUCUCUAUCUUAUUUAUCAAAUAAGUGUUCAGAUGCAGAUUUGGGAAUACCCUGUGUUUACUUUUAAAUGCACUUGGUAACAUUUGUUUUCUUAAAAGCCUAUCCAAGGACUGAACAAAUGGGCUCCUGAGCCAGUCUACAGAAGGAGGUGGCUAGGGUCAGUUUAAUAUUUGCCAUGAAAAAAUACACACUGCUGAGUAAAUACAGAGAGGAAUUAUAUGUUAUUUGACUAGCUGCUAAUUACGGUGAGCUCUUCCUGACUGUGCUUCCUUUUUAAAAGAUGAAAGUCAGAUCCCUCAAAAUUCUUAUAUUUAGUUCCUUUGGAAAAAAUGGUCUGGUAAAUAAAACAAGUAUUACUUCUCUA